rnacentral:rRNA from 1 species
CCAGACUCCUACGGGAGGCAGCAGUGGGGGAUAUUGCACAAUGGGGGGAACCCUGAUGCAGCGACGCCGCGUGGGUGAAGGAGCGUUUCGGCGCGUAAAGCCCUAUCGGCAGGGAAGAAGAUGACGGUACCUGACCAAGAAGCCCCGGCUAACUACGUGCCAGCAGCCGCGGUAAUACGUAGGGGGCAAGCGUUAUCCGGAUUUACUGGGGGUAAAGGGGGCGCAGACGGCAGCGAAAGCCAGGAGUGAAAGCCCGGGGCGCAACCCCGGGACUGCGCUUGGAACUGCGCGGCUGGAGUGCAGGAGGGGGAGGCGGAAUUCCUGGUGUGGCGGUGAAAUGCGUAGAGAUCAGGAGGAACACCGGUGGCGAAGGCGGCCUGCUGGACUGCGACUGACGUUGAGGCCCGAAAGCGUGGGGAGCAGACAGGAUUAGAGACCCGCGUAAC